AACGGUAACAGGCCGCAAGGUGCUGACGAGUGGCGAACGGGUGAGUAAUACAUCGGAACGUGCCCGAGAGUGGGGGAUAACGGAGCGAAAGCUUUGCUAAUACCGCAUACGAUCUACGGAUGAAAGCAGGGGACCGCAAGGCCUUGCGCUCAUGGAGCGGCCGAUGGCAGAUUAGGUAGUUGGUGGGAUAAAAGCUUACCAAGCCGACGAUCUGUAGCUGGUCUGAGAGGACGACCAGCCACACUGGGACUGAGACACGGCCCAGACUCCUACGGGAGGCAGCAGUGGGGAAUUUUGGACAAUGGGCGAAAGCCUGAUCCAGCCAUGCCGCGUGCAGGAUGAAGGCCUUCGGGUUGUAAACUGCUUUUGUACGGAACGAAAAGACUCUGGUUAAUACCUGGGGUCCAUGACGGUACCGUAAGAAUAAGCACCGGCUAACUACGUGCCAGCAGCCGCGGUAAUACGUAGGGUGCAAGCGUUAAUCGGAAUUACUGGGCGUAAAGCGUGCGCAGGCGGUUAUAUAAGACAGAUGUGAAAUCCCCGGGCUCAACCUGGGAACUGCAUUUGUGACUGUAUAGCUAGAGUACGGUAGAGGGGGAUGGAAUUCCGCGUGUAGCAGUGAAAUGCGUAGAUAUGCGGAGGACACCGAUGGCGA
rnacentral:rRNA from 1 species